GGCCUCCCUCUGUGGGGUGAUUGAUCACAGGGCUCCGUAAUCAAUGGCUCCGCAGAGGGAGGCC
rnacentral:pre_miRNA from 1 species